AAACAUGAAGACCCACGUUCAUUUUCUAAUUUUCUUCGCCUCGAUCUCCGUCUGGUUGAUACAAAGUAGCGAUGCGGUUAAAGCCGUAGAAUGUUCGUGCUGCGGAAAACCAAAAGGUAAGAUUGUAUCCACGGACAUCGGCGGAUGUAAGAACCAAUCUUCAUACGAAUGCGAAUUUAAUUUCGGUGGUCCGCUGAAAGUUCGUAUCAAAUUUGAAGUUUACAAAGAAAUUUCGAAUAUCGAUUAUAAGUUAACGGCGGUUGAAGAAACUUCCUUGACUAGAAAGACUUUCGGUUAUCCGAACAAAAAUAUCGGAUCCGAAUCUGGAAUACCUUCUCCUCUUAAACCGGGAGAGAUUUAUCAAUUUCAACGAACCUUUUGGCUUAAUGAUUCCAGAUUUACCAAAAGUUCUGUCAAACGUUUGAACUUGGAAAUUUUAGACAGAGGAGACGGGAAUACAGUUGUAUGUAUAGAAAUACCUGGCAGAAUGAUGGAACAAAACAAAAAAUAAUAAAAUGAGUUCGUAAUUGGAC